rnacentral:lncRNA from 1 species
UUUUUUUCGUCGGCAAAAAAAUGGCCGGGGAGGGCACGACUGGAGAUGCUCUUAGCGUAGAGCUAGAGGCAGGACUAAAGGAUCUCUCGCAAUAGCUCUGGCGAUGUCAGCAUUGUUUGCUAGGCCGGUUGAAUGACACCACGCCGCGCUGAACAGAAAUCCAGCAAGUUUUACUUUAUUUUACUAUGAAAUAUAAACGUCCUUCAAUUUUGUUUGAAGUAGUUAUAAUUUUAAUUGAAGUGAUGUGCAUGGAAAUUAGCUAAUAGUGUUUCAUUGACUCUGAAUCUUGUUAAAGUUUGCAAGGUGGAAAAAAUCAUGCACGUUAAAAGAGAUGUUCCACAAAGUUCUAAAUAUAGUUCCAAUGGAUAAAAAUGGUAUCAUGUGUGAUUUUUGUCUUUUCAAUGUGUGCCCCCAUCUAUGAAAAUUGGUCGUUUAUGCAAAAAUAAUAAUACACAUAUUCACUUCCACUUGAUUCUUAAUGGAAAGAGAGGGGAUUUAAAACAGAAAACAGAAGAAGAAAGUACAAAUGGAAAGAGAGGGGAGUUCUGGGCCGUAUUGUUAAUGGGCUUAAGCCCAUCAAUGAAUUGACUGACCCACCAAAUCUGGCAACCAGCCCAAAACAACUCAGAACAGUUCAGAGGGAAAAAGCACGCAUUUCAAGGCCGAAGUCAAUGGCCAAAGAAUCGACUGACGGAACAUCGAUUUUCAGGCAACUUCAGGCUAAAAGUGUAAACUUCAGGCUGUACUAUGUUGUUUAUAUCUGAAGAAAGGAAAUCUCUGAAUCUCUCCUGGGUUCCCUUUCUGUACCAAACCCUUUCAGUUCAUCUUUUACCUCUGAAAUUUUUGUGAGAUUCUGUGCCCUCGGUCCUUGGAUAGUACGAAGAUUCUUUACAGAGGUUUUCCCUCUCUCUCGAAUUCAUUUCACAUCGAUAAUGGCCGCUCCAUGUGACACUUGACACUUAGCUCAUGGAAGAUCCUGGAAGCUGGAACAAAACAAGGGUCACAUGCCUCGGCCCCGUGCUCUCCGUUGGCUCCGUCCUCUUUGUUGCCUCUCGGAUUCCAUAAA